GACGAACGCUGGCGGCGUGCUUAACACAUGCAAGUCGAACGGAAAGGCCCUGCUUUUGUGGGGUGCUCGAGUGGCGAACGGGUGAGUAACACGUGAGUAACCUGCCCUUGACUUUGGGAUAACUUCAGGAAACUGGGGCUAAUACCGGAUAGGAGCUCCUGCUGCAUGGUGGGGGUUGGAAAGUUUCGGCGGUUGGGGAUGGACUCGCGGCUUAUCAGCUUGUUGGUGGGGUAGUGGCUUACCAAGGCUUUGACGGGUAGCCGGCCUGAGAGGGUGACCGGCCACAUUGGGACUGAGAUACGGCCCAGACUCCUACGGGAGGCAGCAGUGGGGAAUAUUGCACAAUGGGCGGAAGCCUGAUGCAGCAACGCCGCGUGCGGGAUGAAGGCCUUCGGGUUGUAAACCGCUUUCGCCUGUGACGAAGCGUGAGUGACGGUAAUGGGUAGAGAAGCACCGGCUAACUACGUG
rnacentral:rRNA from 1 species